CUCUUCUCUUCCUGUAACCUCAUCUUUCUCUCCCUCCUCUUCUUCUCUCUUUCUUUCUCUCGUGUGACCCCCGGACCUCUCUCUCCCUCUGUGAUCUCUCCCUCUUUCUCAAGUUUGUCACUCACAUAAGCAAUAACCCCAAACCAACACCACUGGACAUAUGAACCUCGGGAAAACUCAAGCAAACCUUCAUGACUGUUCAUCACUUCUCUGACAUGUUUCGUGUUUUUUUUACGUUGAAAAUGGCUCGGAGUAGUUUUUCCAAAUUUUCCAGCGAGCACCAUCCCUUCCGAGGAAAUUUCCGGCCAAACCACGGCGAGUUGGCUGAUGUGCAAAUGCGACUACUAAAGCUACAGUACUUGGAACGAUAAAGGUACCCACAAGCACAGUGAAGAUUCCUCGUGCUGUUACUGAAAUUGGCAGUUUUCCAUUUCUAGCUAAAUUCCGAGAGCCGAGAAAACCUUGUAAACUUGACAGAAAUGGAACCCUGCCAAACUCCCAAUCCCAUGCAACAUAAUUAUUUAAUAAACUUACUUGUAGGCUUCAGUU